rnacentral:rRNA from 1 species
GACGUAGGUGGCGAACGUUAUCCGGAAUUAUUGGGCGUAAAGGGUGCGUAGGUGGCUUGACAAGUUAUCAGUGGCAAAUCGAGGCUUAACCUCGCGGAAACUGGUAAUACUGUUUGGCUCGAGUGCAGGAGAGGUUAGCGGAACUCUAUGUGGAGCGGUAAAAUGCACAGAUAUAUAGAAGAACACCAAUAACGGCGAAGGCAGUUAACUAUUCUGUUACUGACACUGAGGCACGAAAGCGUGGGGAGCAAAACGG